AGUCGAACGAGAAAGCCUUCGGGUGAGUAAAGUGGCGCACGGGUGAGUAACACGUAGAUAACCUACCCUUAAGUUGGGGACAACAUCGGGAAACCGGUGCUAAUACCGAAUGUGAAAGUAAUUUUAAAGGUGGCUUCGGCUAUCGCUUGAGGAAGGGUCUGCGCGACAUUAGCUUGAUGGUGGGGUAAUGGCCUACCAUGGCUACGAUGUCUAGCUGGUCUGAGAGGAUGAUCAGCCACACUGGAACUGAGACACGGUCCAGACUCCUACGGGAGGCAGCAGUAGGGAAUAUUGCGCAAUGGGGGAAACCCUGACGCAGCAACGCCGCGUGAGUGAGGAAGGUCUUCGGAUUGUAAAGCUCUGUCCUAAGGGAAGAACCGCCAUAUGGUUAAUACCAAUAUGGUCUGACGGUACCUUAGAAGAAAGCACCGGCUAACUUCGUGCCAGCAGCCGCGGUAAUACGAAGGGUGCAAGCGUUGUUCGGAUUUAUUGGGCGUAAAGCGCGCGCAGGCGGAUAAUCAAGUCAGAUGUGAAAUCUCGGAGCUCAACUCCGAAACUGCGUCUGAAACUGAUAAUCUAGAAUCUUGGAGGGGGCAGGGGAAUUUCUCAUGUAGGGGUAAAAUCCGUAGAGAUGAGAAGGAACACCAGAGGCGAAGGCGCCUGCCUGGACAAGUAUUGACGCUGAGGCGCGAAAGCGUG
rnacentral:rRNA from 1 species